rnacentral:lncRNA from 1 species
GCAAACAAUCUCUUUGUCGAGUGUAUAUCUAAAAACACUCGGCAAAAAAAAACACUCGGCAAACAGGGAGUUUGCCGAGUGUUAAAAAAAGAAACACUCGGCAAACAGGAAGUUUGCCGAGUGUCAAAAAAGAAACCCUCGGCAAACAAUUUGUUUGCCGAGUGUUAUACUCCAGACACUCGGCAAAGGAAAAAGAAAAGAAAAAGUAAUCCGCGUCGCUCCUAAAAUCCCACACCCGCCUCCCGCACCGAACCCCACCCCCACACCCG